UACGUAGGUGACAAGCGUUGUCCGGAUUUACUGGGCGUAAAGCGCGUGUAGGCGGUUGCGCAAGUUAGUUGUGAAAUCUCCCGGCUCAACCGGGAAACUGCAGCUAAUACUGCGUGGCUAGAGUGGCAGAGAGGAAAGUGGAAUUCCCGGUGUAGUAGUGAAAUGCGUAGAUAUCGGGGAGGAACACCAGCGGCGAAGGCGACUUUCUGGCUGCUAACUGACGCUGAGACGCGAAAGCUAGGGGAGCGAACGGG
rnacentral:rRNA from 1 species